GACGUAGGGUGCGAGCGUUGUCCGGAUUUAUUGGGCGUAAAGAGCUCGUAGGCGGCUCGUCGCGUCGACCGUGAAAACCCGCGGCUUAACUGCGGGCUUGCGGUUGGUACGGGCGGGCUAGAGUUCGGUAGGGGAGACUGGAAUUCCUGGUGUAGCGGUGAAAUGCGCAGAUAUCAGGAGGAACACCGGUGGCGAAGGCGGGUCUCUGGGCCGAUACUGACGCUGAGGAGCGAAAGCGUGGGGAGCGAACAGG
rnacentral:rRNA from 1 species